rnacentral:rRNA from 1 species
CUCUGUGACUCCUACGGGAGGCAGCAGUGGGGAAUAUUGCACAAUGGGGGAAACCCUGAUGCAGCCAUGCCGCGUGUGUGAAGAAGGCCUUCGGGUUGUAAAGCACUUUCAGUAGGGAGGAAGGUAGUGUAGUUAACACCUGCAUUAUUUGACGUUACCUACAGAAGAAGCACCGGCUAACUCCGUGCCAGCAGCCGCGGUAAUACGGAGGGUGCGAGCGUUAAUCGGAAUUACUGGGCGUAAAGCGCAUGCAGGCGGCCUGUUAAGUCAGAUGUGAAAGCCCGGGGCUUAACCUCGGAAUUGCAUUUGAAACUGGCAGGCUAGAGUCUUGUAGAGGGGGUAGAAUUUCAGGUGUAGCGGUGAAAUGCGUAGAGAUCUGAAGGAACACCAGUGGCGAAGGCGACUUACUGGACUGUAACUGACGCUGAUGCACGAAAGCGUGGGUAGCGAACAGGAUUAGAUACCCUGGUAG